GAAUAGGGCGAUAGAGUAUGUGGUCGUAGACCCGAAACCAGGUGAUCUACCCAUGUCCAGGGUGAAGUCCAGGUAACACUGGAUGGAGGCCCGAACCCACGCACGUUGAAAAGUGCGGGGAUGAGGUGUGGGUAGCGGAGAAAUUCCAAUCGAACUUGGAGAUAGCUGGUUCUCUCCGAAAUAGCUUUAGGGCUAGCCUCAAGGUAAGAGUAUUGGAGGUAGAGCACUGUUUGGACUAGGGGCCCCCAUCG
rnacentral:rRNA from 1 species